rnacentral:rRNA from 1 species
UACGUAGGCGGAAAAUUAAGUCAGUAGUGAAAUCCUGCAGCUUAACUGUAGAACUGUUAUUGAUACUGGUUUUCUUGAAUAUAGUUGAGGUAGGCGGAAUGUGUAAUGUAGCGGUGAAAUGCUUAGAUAUUACACAGAACACCGAUUGCGAAGGCGGCUUACUAAGCUAUGAUUGACGCUGAGGUACGAAAGCGUCGGGAGCGAACAGGAUUAGAUACCCUGGUAGUCC